rnacentral:lncRNA from 1 species
CCUGAGUGUUGUUUGUAAUUUACAAGCUGAGCAUCACAUCCGUCUCUCCCUGUCCUGCAACCCCUAAAGGCCUGGAGUGCUUCUCUCAGAGUAAAUAAUAGGCCAUGUUCGUAUUGUUUGAUUUUUUUUUUUUUUUUCUGUUUAAGGGUUGUGUGAUUUAUGAAAUUUGAAAACUCCGAGGUUGAGAUUCCUACUUUUAGAUUAAUUUGAACACGUCUAGAAGUAGAGAAGCUUUUUUUGACUUCCCACGUUACGUUCUUUUAGCAGUAGGAAUACGAAGAAAAGCUAGAUUUCUGUUGCUGUUCUGAGGAAACUCACAUGAGGUAUACAGGAGUAAAAGAUCUAAAAGUGAAGGAAAAGAAGUACAGCUCUGAUACUGU